AUAAACGACUCUCGACAACGGAUAUCUCGGCUCACGCAUCGAUGAAGAACGUAGCAAAAUGCGAUACUUGGUGUGAAUUGCAGAAUCCCGUGAACCAUCGAGUUUUUGAACGCAAGUUGCGCCCGAAGCCUUUUGGUUGAGGGCACGUCUGCCUGGGCGUCACAC
rnacentral:rRNA from 1 species